UCUUUUCUUGUAGGCACAAUUCUGCAUGAAUGUGUCAGUUGUUACAAGGCAAAAUUAAAAGUACAGGUUUUGCUUCCAUCAUGCUAAAUAUUCUGUUGCAGUGAUGACAAUGAGACCUGUCACAUGUUAGCCUUUUGCAUAUUGACUUCAUAAUGUUUACCACAUAACCACUUCAUUCAAGGAAUGUCUUAACUUCUCUCCUCAGGUUGAAACUUUUGAAAUGUUUUUGUCUGACUUUCAUAUAGUCUUCUACCGGGACAGGGCUCCAUGAUGGGUUGAAACCUUUGACAUGCAUUGUCAGAAAAUGUACUCCUUUACUGGAAAAGGGCUCCAUGACGAUCCCAUCUGAAAUAUGUAUCUUAAAUAAGGUUAACAGUGGCAUAGCUUGCUGGAAAGGCAUUUGGAUGUGAACAUGACCAGUAAAUCUGAAAAUUUGAGACCCUUUCAUUAGCAAACUGCUCUGGUGAUUCUUGUCCGGUGUCAGAAUUAGAGGUUUCAAAUGUUGAAGAUGUAAUAUUUAAGAGGUGAAAGCUAUCCAUUAAACUGAAGAUGAGGUGAGUGGUCUUUCAGCGUUCUGCACUGGAUGGUAUCUGCACCCAAUGGCAAUUUCCUGUUGUGGUGUUCAUUACGCAGUGCAAGAUAAACUCAGCAACUGGCAUCGUUGGUUUUCAGACCUCUUGUGUUUGCAAGCCUGGUUUUUAUGCUGUGACAUUAAUUUCUAUCUAAGGCCUG